CGCAUCUGUGCAUGCAGCAUAUCAAUAAGCGGAGGAAAAGAAACUAACAAGGAUUCCCCUAGUAACGGCGAGUGAAGCGGGAAGAGCUCAAAUUUGAAAUCUUAAAGGGUUUCCCUUUACGAAUUGUAGUUUAAAGAAGUGCUUUUCUGUUGAGGUUUUGGUAAAAGUUCUUUGGAAUAGGACAUCAUAGAGGGUGAGAAUCCCGUAUUUGACCUUUACUUUCAACUUUGUGAUACACUUUCAAAGAGUCGGAUUGCUUGGGAAUGCAGUCCAAAAUGGGUGGUAAAUUUCAUCUAAAGCUAAACUAUUGGCGAGAGACCGAUAGCGAACAAGUACCGUGAGGGAAAGAUGAAAAGAACUUUGAAAAGAGAGUUAAACAGUACGUGAAAUUGUCAAAAGGGAAGCGUUUGACACCAGUGUUGUUUUUCUGAAAAUCAAUUAAAGAACUGUUUAUGCUAAGCUGUUUAGACUUUAUCAGCUAACUGUUUAGUUUUGAGCUUUUCUUUAAUGCACUUUUCAGUUAACAAGUCAACAUCAAUUUCUUUUGCUGUAAAAAAGCUUGAGGAAGGUGGCUUGAGAUUCGUCUUAAGUGUUUAUAGCCUCUUGCCUAUGCAGUCGGAGAGAUUGAGGUCUGCAGCGUAGAUCCUUCGGGGCUAAAUGCAUUUGUGCUAAGUUAUAGCAUUUUAUAGACAACUUGUUGACUAUGAUUUGUCUUGUAGCUUACUCGCUUAUGUUAUUUUACCUACGCUUAGGAUGUUGAACGCGCACAGAGUCUC
rnacentral:rRNA from 1 species